GUCCACUUUACAUCAACAAUAAAUUGGACAAGAAAUUGACCAAGUUAUUCAAGGCCAAAUUUGACGUGUAAAAGCACACUUUGACAUCUAAGUUUGUUCGUUAUAAACUUCACGUGAAGAAAUUGACGAAAAAGAAAAUUGUUCUAUUUUUUCAUUUAUUUGGCGUGAAUUCAGUGUCACCAACCUGUGUCCAUUUGGCGGGAAGUGGAAGUAGAGCUGUAGAGCUUUUUGUUUAUUAUUAUUUGUUGAGGUUGAGUCUUUCAUGUUCAUGACAACCUAAAAAUUUUGAUUGGAAAAUGCAUAUAAGAUAAGGGGGUGGGAAAAUGGAAAUUAGUGGCUUUUUUGCAGUUCUGUCUGUUAGUUUUGCUCUGGCUGGGUCUCUUUUGUUUAAACAAUUAUAAUCAGCUGAAAGUGGUCUACAAAAAAACCAGGAAGGAAACGUAUUAUAGCCUUGUUGUGGCUAUGAAAGAUACCUAUAAAAAGUGUAUUGACUAGUUGGAAGAAACUCCACAUUGUCGAUGCAUAAUAAGAUAUUACUUUAUAAACAAAUAUCAAGACCUAGGAAUGGAACCUGGAUAAUAUAGUCAUCAAGAAGAUAGCAGGAGGUCAUGAGCAACAACAACUUCAUAAGUAUGAGAAUAUUGAGGAAAUCCAGCUCCUCGAUAUCUACUACUGGACAAACUAGAAGAUUGAAGAGGACAAAGCCUUUUGAACUAGUUUGAGUGAUAGGUGAUAGUGAAAAGCAGAGCGUAGUGCUUGUGUGCCUGUGUAUGUUAGAAUAGUGCACGAUCUUGUUAGAUUAGAUAAGAGACGCUAUAGGGUAAGCUCUUCAUUUUAAGGAACAGUAGUAAUUUAGGUUAAAUUAAAAUUGCUCAUUGGUCAGUUAUGACCAGAUUGUAAUUCUCUGAUGUUUGGCAAAAAGGGCUGAAGUCAGAAUUGCACAUCAAUAAUGUUUUGAUGAUUUCUGGACCAUAAAAAAAGUGUUGCAGACUUAAACUGUAUGUACCAAUAAAAAGAGCCGAUUUUUCUGGUCCAGAAAUCAUCAAAACAUUAUCGAUGUGCAAUUCUGACUUAAGCCCUUUUUCCCAAACAUCAGAGAAUUGCAAUGUACAAUUCAAUACAAAUGAAUCAUCAUCGUAGUGAUGAUUAUGGAAAAAAAUAUAUAUAUAUAUAGAAAUAUAUAUAUUUUGUGCAAUAAAAAUGUUUAUAUUUA